GAUGAACGCUGGCGGCGUGCUUAACACAUGCAAGUCGAACGAUGAAGCCCAGCUUGCUGGGUGGAUUAGUGGCGAACGGGUGAGUAACACGUGAGUAACCUGCCCUUAACUCUGGGAUAAGCCUGGGAAACUGGGUCUAAUACCGGAUAGGAGCGUCCACCGCAUGGUGGGUGUUGGAAAGAUUUAUCGGUUUUGGAUGGACUCGCGGCCUAUCAGCUUGUUGGUGAGGUAAUGGCUCACCAAGGCGACGACGGGUAGCCGGCCUGAGAGGGUGACCGACCCCACUGGGACUGAGACACGGCCCAGACUCCUACGGGAGGCAGCAGUGGGAAAUAUUGCACAAUGGGCGCAAGCCUGAUGCAGCGACGCCGCGUGAGGGAUGACGGCCUUCGGGUUGUAAACCUCUUUCAGUAGGGAAGAAGCGAAAGUGACGGUACCUGCAGAAGAAGCACCGGCUAACUACGUG
rnacentral:rRNA from 1 species